rnacentral:rRNA from 1 species
CCAGACUCCUACGGGAGGCAGCAGUGGGGGAUAUUGCACAAUGGGGGCAACCCUGAUGCAGCGACGCCGCGUGAGCGAUGGAGUACUUCGGUAUGUAAAGCUCUGUCAGCAGGGAAGAGAAUGACGGUACCUGACCAAGAAGCCCCGGCUAAAUACGUGCCAGCAGCCGCGGUAAUACGUAUGGGGCAAGCGUUAUCCGGAUUUACUGGGUGUAAAGGGAGCGUAGGCGGCAGGGCAAGCCUGAUGUGAAAGCCCGGGGCUCAACCCCGGGACUGCAUUGGGAACUGCCCCGCUCGAGUGCCGGAGGGGCAGGCGGAAUUCCUAGUGUAGCGGUGAAAUGCGUAGAUAUUAGGAGGAACACCAGUGGCGAAGGCGGCCUGCUGGACGGUGUACUGACGCUGAGGCUCGAAAGCGUGGGGAGCAAACAGGAUUAGAUACCCCUGUA